AGUCGAAUCGGUGGCUGCGGUUCAUUGGCUUCCCCCGCGGUCACAGACAUGCGGGGAUCCCUGUGGCCCUGUCUCUGUGCGCUGCCGCUGUUCCCAGGUUCGGUGGCGGGGAACUCGCUGACCCAGAUCCCGGCUUCCCUGUCAGCCACGGAAGGGCGGCGGGUGGAGAUAAGGUGUCAAUUCAGCACCUCCUACAGCAGCUUCGCCCUGGACUGGUACCAGGAGCGGCCGGGGAAGCAGCCCCUCUUCCUGCUGGGCAGAUACUCCUGUGGCUCGGAGCGCAAAUCCGAUUCUGUGGCCCGUCGGUUCCCCUCGCAGCUGGACACCGGAGCGAAGUCUCUCACGCUGUCCAUAGACGGGGCGCAGCGGGCUGACUCGGCGGUGUAUUUCUGCGCUCUGAGUUACAGCACAGUGCUACGGGGCGCACCGGGCUCCCUACGCGAAGUGCCGGAGCGGGUGGCCGUGUCUGAAACGCAGGGAGACGAGUUAUUGAUUUUCUGAGUAGCAGUAGACGUGUUCGGGGCACAAUUCAGGGACCAUGAGAUAAGAACAUCGUCUUCCGCCUCCUCUUCCCUCCUCCCCCCCACCCCCACGCUAACGUGCCGGCAUCUGUGGGCACCGACAGGCACCCCAGAGCUCAGCAUCUCCCCAGACACCUCCCACAAGAGCAGCAUCCCUCCCCUUCUCCGCCUCGCCCCCCCAUAGACCAGGAGCUGAGGCCUAGGGGGAUGAAGUGAGUUUCCCGAGGUCACACGGCCAGUCAGUGGCAGAGCUCAGAAUUAUUUUCCUGUCUUUUGAGCCCAGGACAAAGCCCUUGACCACCGGGCCACUCUCGGACCCAAAAACACACGGUGUGCGCCGUGCGGGUUCCGUUCGCAGCUCGGGGUUAAUGAACCGGAACCAGCACAGCGAGGGGAAGCCAGUCCGAGCUAAGACACAAACCUCCCCUGCUGCCAGUGGGGCCAGGCCCGGCUGAUCACAGUCAGCUGCACAGGGAGGCGGGGGGACCCGGCGCUUUCAGCGCUGGAAAUGCCGCGAUACAGUGUCUCUGUAGCAGGCAGCAGGGAGAUGCCAACCCCAGGCGCGACACAGGAAACCCCAGCCCCAUGGCGUGCCAGCUGCCCCCAUUCCCGCAGCGUGUGAGCCUCGCCCUCCCCCACCCUGGAUCCCCCUGCCCUGCUCCCCUCCCGCCAGGCAUGUGAAAGGGGCUGGGGCAGUGACAGAAAGAGGGCGCUCCGCACCCUCACUACAGAGCUCUUUGUCUUUAAGCCCUUCUCAGCCUGAGUUCCGCAGCAGGCAGGAUCGGAGGACACCGGGGCUUGGGGGCUUGGGUUUGUCUGUUGUGUGUUGUAGACAAGUGAGAGAGAAGGGCGCGCAGACAGACAGUCAGGGACACACACACGGACACAGCCAGACACACAGCCAGACACCGGAUAAAUGCUCACAACUGCACACACAACCGUCGCACUCUUUCCCACGCGUUACUGGGGUGUGUGAGCGCCACCCGCAGCCCCGCUCCGGAUCCCCAGUUCACACAGCAGCUGGUGUCAUUCCGCAGUAACGCGCUCUCUCUCCCUGAAGGCCAAUCGGUGACUUUGGGGUUCUUUAGCUCCCCCAUUACAGACAUGCGGGGACCUCUGUGGCUGUUUCUCUGCGCGCUGCCGCUGUUCCCAGGUGAGCUCCAAGAGCGGGGGCCGGGGCCUGUCUAUCUGGGGGACUUUCCUCGCCCCUGACUCCCUCCGAAUUAUCUCUCUUUUAGGUUCGGUGGCUGGGAACUCGCUGACCCAGAUCCCGGCUUCUCUGUCAGCCACGGAAGGGCAGCGGGUGGAGAUAAGGUGUCGAUACAGCACCUCCUACAGCAGCUACGCCCUGGACUGGUACCAGGAGCGGCCGGGGAAGGAACCCGUCUUCCUGCUGGGCAGAAACUCCUACGGCUCGGAGCGCAAAUCCAGUUCGGUGGCCCCUCGAUUCUCCGCGCAGCUGGACACCCGAGCGAAGUCUCUCACGCUGUCCAUAGACGGGGCGCAGCGGGCUGACUCGGCGGUGUAUUUCUGCGCUCUCUGGGAUCCACUGUGCUACAGAGCGCCCCGGGCUCCCGACACAAACUGCCGGAGGGGGCGGCAGGUGUCUGAAAGGCGGUGAAGUGUAAUUCGAGUUCUCAGCCCCAGUAGACACGUUAGGAGGCACACUUCAGACCUCCUGGAAAAACAAAGGUACAUUUUGGAGGACGUAGGCUCGCCAGAGGAGAUGAGACGCUUUGCCGUCGGAGUAGCUACGACACACAGAAGAAGCAACGCAACCUGAAUUUUAGAGAUAGGCGGCUGCGGCGCAGACGCGCUGAGUGACUUGGCCUCGGUGACACAGAGAAACGGCUUGAGGGCAGAGGAACUGGGUUGGGAAGGACGUGUCUCGGUUAUAUUAGCGUCUCUGCAAUAGUCCUGGGAGCUCCUCCAGAGAAGGAGGAUGAGUCAUGUAAUGUUACCUUAACUUGGAGACAUAAAGAAGUUGAUCAUUAUUUAUAAUUAAGGUAAUGCUAAAAUUAUCUAA